CCUACGGGAGGCAGCAGUGAGGAAUAUUGGGCAAUGGACGCAAGUCUGAACCAGCCAUGCCGCGUGAAGGAAGACGGCUCUAUGAGUUGUAAACUGCUUUUGUACGAGGGUAAACGCAGAUACGCGUAUCUGUCUGAAAGUAUCGUACGAAUAAGGAUCGGCUAACUCCGUGCCAGCAGCCGCGGUAAUACGGAGGAUUCAAGCGUUAUCCGGAUUUAUUGGGUUUAAAGGGUGCGUAGGCGGUCGGAUAAGUUAGAGGUGAAAUCCCGGGGCUCAACUUCGGAAUUGCCUCUGAUACUGUUCGGCUAGAGAGUAGUUGCGGUAGGCGGAAUGUAUGGUGUAGCGGUGAAAUGCUUAGAGAUCAUGCAGAACACCGAUUGCGAAGGCAGCUUACCGGGCUACUUCUGACGUUGAGGCACGAAAGCGUGGGGAGCGAACAGGAUUAGAUACCCGGGUAGUC
rnacentral:rRNA from 1 species